GGGCGAGAACUCUGCUCCAUGGAACAUUUAAUAAUAGCGCUGAACCACUCGGCUCUGUGGACCUUGUGCAUAAAGGUGACCAUAAAAAACCAUACGCCAACAUGACGCUCGUUUACAACGAAUCAUAUUGUAGUGUAUUCUUGACAGAAUAUUGGCAGGAACCACGGCCAGUGUGCGAACUCUUUGCGCGCGGCAAACAAGCUCCUCAUGAUCCUACAGCUGGUUGCAAUGAUUACUUCAAGGAAAAUUGUACAGGAGACAUCCUUGUACUGUACAACAGUACGUGUGUUACCGAAAUUGAAACAUCGCCAUCAAGCGACAUCUACUGUAAAGUCGAUGGGUAAAUAAAGAUACAUUUGAUCCACAGCAAAA